rnacentral:rRNA from 1 species
GACGAACGCUGGCGGCAUGCCUAAUACAUGCAAGUCGAACGCGGCCAUCCGGUGCUUGCACUGGUGAAGCCGAGUGGCGAACGGGUGAGUAACACGUGAGAAACCUGCCCUGGAGUGGGGAAUAACUCGAAGAAAUUCGAGCUAAUACCGCAUACCUUCUCUUCACCGCAUGGUGAGUUGAAGAAAGAUUUAUCGCUCUAGGAGGGUCUCGCGGCCUAUCAGCUAGUUGGUGAGGUAAUGGCUCACCAAGGCAUCGACGGGUAGCUGGUCUGAGAGGACGAUCAGCCACACUGGGACUGAGACACGGCCCAGACUCCUACGGGAGGCAGCAGUAGGGAAUCUUGCGCAAUGGGCGAAAGCCUGACGCAGCAAUGCCGCGUGCGGGACGAAGGCCUAGGGUCGUAAACCGCUUUCAGUAGGGACGAAAAUGACGGUACCUGCAGAAGAAGCUCCGGCCAACUACGUGCCAGCAGCCGCGGU